UAGGCUUUCAUUGAAAAUAAGAUUUGUUCUUAACUGACUUGCCUAGUUAAAUAAAGGUUAAAAAAAAAUAUGAGAAUCAAGUUCUGAAAUUCUAUGUUCUGAUUCUAUGCUUCCGUUGUUCUGAUGUACCAAGCAGUUCUGUUUGGAAUGUUCUGAAUGUUGGACCUGAACGGUGUUUCUUCACCUGCAUCGUGGACAUGCUGGAUUUGUUUUGCUUUGAAAACAGACACCAGAAACGUGACGACAGGAAAUGGGACGUUAUGUAUUAUUCAUGUGAAUACCAUUGAUAGACUGAAGCCCAACUGAUAUUUCACCACACCGUGGUAGUUUCUAGAACUAACUGUUAUUUCACCCUAUCACACUAGUUUUAAUGUACACUUACCAGGUAACCCCAACUAGUUUACUGUACACUUACCAGGUGACGUCCAGCAGUGUAAAUGGCGUGCAUCUCCUCUUCCUGUCACCAGCUGUGUUCUCCCUCUCUCCCAAAGCAACAUGGAAACAUAGUGUUUCCUGUAUUCUAAACCCUCCUCCUCCCUUUCUCCCUCGGUCAAUAUGAAAAUAAAACCCCAUUUUACAAAUG